UUACGGCCCUAUCACGUUGAAACACCGGUUCUCAUACGAUCACCGAAGUUAAGCAAUGUCAAGCCUGGUCAGUACUGUGUUG